CCGUACCUGAAACACGAUUUGUACUGCGCAUGUGCGAAAACGCAAGUUUUGCUCUGCGCAGGCGCACGCUUGAUGCCACUUCCUGUCACCGCCAACUUUUUACGACGUCUUCUAGUGAUAUGGAUUCUUUUGCAUUUUACACACAACUUUAAACCUUAAAAGGAGAAAUUCUUGACAGUUCUACUUAUCAUCGGAAGGUGAGACGGGUGUCUUCGAAUUUUAUCAUCAAAGUGUUUUCCUCAACAGUGUGCAGGGAAUUCCAAUGUCAUCUACAUGCUGAUGUAUGCUCUCAGUACCUGUACAUCCUGUCCAUUAACAUUCACAGAGGAAGAUGUGCCAUUGAUUCGCCAGUGGUGGUGCAUUCAGUUGAUGGAGAGGUUUUGCCUAGAAGGGCAUGGACAGAGAUUUGCUCAUUGGACAGAAGACGCAUCCCAGCUCCUUCAGGGAACCCUUGAGCCUAUUCUUAGAGUGUCAAAAUCCACCACCAGACAGUCAACCAGCAGAAGAGUUGUGGUUGAAGAGGACACUGAUAAAAUAAAUGAUUUUAGUGGUCAUAUAUCAAGCAGUUGCAAUGCAAGCUGGAUAAAUAGUUUAAUUAGUUUGUGCCAUUAUUUAUAUUAUAUAUAAAUAAUAAUAUUGUUCACCAGUAUAACACUCUUCACCAGGUGCAACAGCCACCCAUUGUAAGAGACCUUCAUAAAGCUUGGUACUGGGGAAACGAUCACAGAGACUUAUUCCGUGGUGAGGUGACAGAGCCUACUUUUCCACAGAUGAACAGUGAAGAUCAACAAAAUGCGCUCAGGAAGGCCCAGGGGAGUGAAUUCCCUGAGGCAAAGGAUGCCUUUUUGUUUGUAUUUCAGUCUCAAUGUGACAUGGAAACAUUUUUGUCAUACUGUGUCGAUGAACAAGGCCUGAAGGUCAAUGCCAUGUUCCUCAGUCAGAAAUUGUAGUAAACGAAUGAGUGGGUGAGAGAGAAAGACUGAGGGAGGGAAGGAAUGAAUUAAUGAAGAAUGGAAGCAGUGAAUUCAUUGAGUAAAUAAAUGAAUAUUGUGUUUUGUUUUGUUUUUCAGAUGACAUUUGUUAAAGUAUGCUGGAAUAAGUAGAACAGUUAAGUAGAACGUGAAUGAAGGAUGGAAGGAAUUAAUUCAUUUAUGAAUAAAUAAAUUGAAUGAAUAAACAAGUAUCUUGUGUGUUUCCUAAAUGCAGACAUUUGUAUAAAGCAUGCUGAAUUAAGUAGAACAUAUCUUUAGAAAACUAAAACAUUUAUAUACACAUCUGGAUUACCCAAAUGGGUCUGGCAAAUGUAAACUUUAUAUUUUAUUUAUAUAUUCAAUUUUAUAUAA